CAAACAUCUCUCCAGACAUCAGUCGUGGCAGGCUACCCCUGUGGAUCCCACACGGGACAUUAAGAGACAGGGAGUCAUAGAUUGCCUUCCCAUGGCAAACUCCAGCAAAAAGGGGAAAGCAUGGAGGACUCCUCCAAAGUGGUGUGGCCAGGCGAAACGACACUUCCAGGAAUUCGGUCUGAAGCAAAGCACAAAGUAUCCUG